rnacentral:rRNA from 1 species
UACAGAGGGGGCAAGCGUUAUUCGGAAUUAUUGGGCGUAAAGGGCGCGUAGGCGGCCAGGCAAGUGGAAGGUGAAAUCCCUCGGCUUAACCGAGGAACUGCCCUCCAAACUGCUUGGCUUGAGACCGGGAGAGGUGAGUGGAAUUCCCAGUGUAGCGGUGAAAUGCGUAGAUAUUGGGAGGAACACCAGUGGCGAAGGCGGCUCACUGGACCGGUACUGACGCUGAGGCGCGAAAGCGUGGGGAGCAAACAGG